rnacentral:lncRNA from 1 species
GGCGAAUUUCGCCGAAAAACGCACCGAAAUCGACCUACCGAUUUCCGCGAAAGCUAACGGACCAUGGACAAUCAGUCCAGCGAUCAUAACAAACUCCCACACACUGCCCACAGUAGCCACGCAAAGCACAAAUGCAUAAAAGACCCUCUAAUUACAUAAAAUCUCAUCAUUUUAUGUAAUUUGAGCGAUCAAGCGGCUCGUUCACGCAAAUCGAGGACUUCCGAAGUCCGCAGAGACGCGUACUGACAGGUCUCGACGUACCGGAGUCCGUGCUCACGAUCCGGAGCACAGCGGCUCGCUGUGGGAAGCGCGGGAGCAACCCGAAGGUUCAGCGAAUAGCGCGCAGUCAGGGAAGAUCGCGCCGAACAGAACUAACCGGACACUUCUGAUCCAAGAGAAGGUGAGCAUUGUGAUCAGCACUGACCCACGAUCACCGUGCUCACCUCCGGAGGCAUCAGGACAGCCUCGGAUCGCCGGAUAAGCGUGCGCAAGCCCAAAACAGCAGCCAAACAGGCUGAAACGGAGCGACAUCACCAAAACAGCGGAACAGGGCCUUCCCGACAGAAACAAAGGUGAGCACGAUGAUCAGCAACUUGCUGGGAUCAUCGUGCUCCCUUCCGUAGAGAUCGGGGAAGCUCGGGAAGCCCAGAACAAGGUUGCUCGGGCUUGGCCGGAGCAACCUUGCUCCGGCCGGCCUCCGGCGGCACAGCGGCGCGCGCGGGGCCCUGAGUCGGGUGAGGGGGAGGUGAGGAACUCCAUGCUCACCUCAGGUGGCGGCUGGAAGCGGCGGCGGCGUCGGCGGAGCAAACCGAGCCCGCACGAGAUCGGGCUCGGGUUCCAGGAGUUGCUGCGGCCACGUCGGCGGCCGGGGAGCUCCGGGACGGCGGAGGCGGGCUGCAGGAGGUCGGG